UUUGACCUCAAAUCAGGUAGGAUU
rnacentral:rRNA from 3 species